rnacentral:rRNA from 1 species
UCGGGAAUUUUGGGCAAUGGGCGAAAGCCUGACCCAGCAACGCCGCGUGAGGGAUGAAGUAUUUCGGUAUGUAAACCUCGAAAGAAUGGGAAGAAUAAAUGACGGUACCAUUUAUAAGCUCCGGCUAACUACGUGCCAGCAGCCGCGGUAAUACGUAGGGAGCAAGCGUUGUUCGGAUUUACUGGGCGUAAAGGGCGCGUAGGCGGCGCGGUAAGUCACUUGUGAAAUCUCUGAGCUUAACUCAGAACGGCCAAGUGAUACUGCUGUGCUAGAGUGCGGAAGAGGCAACCGGAAUUCUUGGUGUAGCGGUGAAAUGCGUAGAUAUCAAGAGGAACCCCUGAGGCGAAGGCGGGUUGCUGGGCCGACACUGACGCUGAUGCGCGAAAGCCAGGGGAGCAAACG